UUAAGCGACUAAGCGUACACGGUGGAUGCCCUGGCAGUCAGAGGCGAUGAAGGGCGUGCUAAUCUGCGAUAAGCGCCGGUAAGGUGAUAUGAACCGUUAUAACCGGCGAUACCCGAAUGGGGAAACCCAGUGUGAUUCGUCACACUAUCAUUAACUGAAUCCAUAGGUUAAUGAGGCGAACCGGGGGAACUGAAACAUCUAAGUACCCCGAGGAAAAGAAAUCAACCGAGAUUCCCCCAGUAGCGGCGAGCGAACGGGGAGGAGCCCAGAGCCUGAAUCAGCAUGUGUGUUAGUGGAAGCGUCUGGAAAGGCGCGCGAUACAGGGUGACAGCCCCGUACACAAAAGCGCAUGUGCUGUGAGCUCGAUGAGUAGGGCGGGACACGUGGUAUCCUGUCUGAAUAUGGGGGGACCAUCCUCCAAGGCUAAAUACUCCUGACUGACCGAUAGUGAACCAGUACCGUGAGGGAAAGGCGAAAAGAACCCCGGCGAGGGGAGUGAAAAAGAACCUGAAACCGUGUACGUACAAGCAGUGGGAGCACAGGUUUACCUGUGUGACUGCGUACCUUUUGUAUAAUGGGUCAGCGACUUAUAUUCUGUAGCAAGGUUAACCGUAUAGGGGAGCCGGAGGGAAACCGAGUCUUAAUUGGGCGUUAAGUUGCAGGGUAUAGACCCGAAACCCGGUGAUCUAGCCAUGGGCAGGUUGAAGGUUGGGUAACACUAACUGGAGGACCGAACCGACUAAUGUUGAAAAAUUAGCGGAUGACCUGUGGCUGGGGGUGAAAGGCCAAUCAAACCGGGAGAUAGCUGGUUCUCCCCGAAAGCUAUUUAGGUAGCGCCUCGUGAAUUCAUCUCCGGGGGUAGAGCACUGUUUCGGCUAGGGGGCCAUCCCGGCUUACCAACCCGAUGCAAACUGCGAAUACCGGAGAAUGUUAUCACGGGAGACACACGGCGGGUGCUAACGUCCGUCGUGAAGAGGGAAACAACCCAGACCGCCAGCUAAGGUCCCAAAGUCAUGGUUAAGUGGGAAACGAUGUGGGAAGGCCCAGACAGCCAGGAUGUUGGCUUAGAAGCAGCCAUCAUUUAAAGAAAGCGUAAUAGCUCACUGGUCGAGUCGGCCUGCGCGGAAGAUGUAACGGGGCUAAACCAUGCACCGAAGCUGCGGCAGCGAACGUAUCACCCAAGACAACUUUACGGAGUUGACGAUUGACGGAGCGAAGCGACGUCAAAGCGUUCAUUAAAGUCGAGUUGGCUUAGGGAUACGUUCGUUGGGUAGGGGAGCGUUCUGUAAGCCUGUGAAGGUGUGUCGUGAGGCAUGCUGGAGGUAUCAGAAGUGCGAAUGCUGACAUAAGUAACGAUAAAGCGGGUGAAAAGCCCGCUCGCCGGAAGACCAAGGGUUCCUGUCCAACGUUAAUCGGGGCAGGGUGAGUCGACCCCUAAGGCGAGGCCGAAAGGCGUAGUCGAUGGGAAACGGGUUAAUAUUCCCGUACUUGGUGUUACUGCGAAGGGGGGACGGAGAAGGCUAUGUUGGCCGGGCGACGGUUGUCCCGGUUUAAGCGUGUAGGUGUGUGUUCCAGGUAAAUCCGGUUCACUUUAACACUGAGGCGUGACGACGAGGCACUACGGUGCUGAAGCAACAAAUGCCCUGCUUCCAGGAAAAGCCUCUAAGCAUCAGGUAACACGAAAUCGUACCCCAAACCGACACAGGUGGUCAGGUAGAGAAUACCAAGGCGCUUGAGAGAACUCGGGUGAAGGAACUAGGCAAAAUGGUGCCGUAACUUCGGGAGAAGGCACGCUGACACGUAGGUGAAGUGAUUUACUCAUGGAGCUGAAGUCAGUCGAAGAUACCAGCUGGCUGCAACUGUUUAUUAAAAACACAGCACUGUGCAAACACGAAAGUGGACGUAUACGGUGUGACGCCUGCCCGGUGCCGGAAGGUUAAUUGAUGGGGUCAGCGUAAGCGAAGCUCCUGAUCGAAGCCCCGGUAAACGGCGGCCGUAACUAUAACGGUCCUAAGGUAGCGAAAUUCCUUGUCGGGUAAGUUCCGACCUGCACGAAUGGCGUAAUGAUGGCCAGGCUGUCUCCACCCGAGACUCAGUGAAAUUGAACUCGCUGUGAAGAUGCAGUGUACCCGCGGCAAGACGGAAAGACCCCGUGAACCUUUACUAUAGCUUGACACUGAACAUUGAGCCUUGAUGUGUAGGAUAGGUGGGAGGCUUUGAAGUGUGGACGCCAGUCUGCAUGGAGCCGACCUUGAAAUACCACCCUUUAAUGUUUGAUGUUCUAACGUGGACCCGUAAUCCGGGUUGCGGACAGUGUCUGGUGGGUAGUUUGACUGGGGCGGUCUCCUCCUAAAGAGUAACGGAGGAGCACGAAGGUUGGCUAAUCCUGGUCGGACAUCAGGAGGUUAGUGCAAUGGCAUAAGCCAGCUUGACUGCGAGCGUGACGGCGCGAGCAGGUGCGAAAGCAGGUCAUAGUGAUCCGGUGGUUCUGAAUGGAAGGGCCAUCGCUCAACGGAUAAAAGGUACUCCGGGGAUAACAGGCUGAUACCGCCCAAGAGUUCAUAUCGACGGCGGUGUUUGGCACCUCGAUGUCGGCUCAUCACAUCCUGGGGCUGAAGUAGGUCCCAAGGGUAUGGCUGUUCGCCAUUUAAAGUGGUACGCGAGCUGGGUUUAGAACGUCGUGAGACAGUUCGGUCCCUAUCUGCCGUGGGCGCUGGAGAACUGAGGGGGGCUGCUCCUAGUACGAGAGGACCGGAGUGGACGCAUCACUGGUGUUCGGGUUGUCAUGCCAAUGGCACUGCCCGGUAGCUAAAUGCGGAAGAGAUAAGUGCUGAAAGCAUCUAAGCACGAAACUUGCCCCGAGAUGAGUUCUCCCUGAGACUUAGAGUCUCCUGAAGGAACGUUGAAGACGACGACGUUGAUAGGCCGGGUGUGUAAGCGCAGCGAUGCGUUGAGCUAACCGGUACUAAUGAACCGUGAGGCUUAACCUU
rnacentral:rRNA from 1 species